rnacentral:rRNA from 1 species
UACGGGAGGCAGCAGUGGGGAAUAUUGCACAAUGGGCGCAAGCCUGAUGCAGCCAUGCCGCGUGUAUGAAGAAGGCCUUCGGGUUGUAAAGUACUUUCAGUCGUGAGGAAGGUGUUAAGGUUAAUAACCUUAGCAAUUGACGUUAGCGACAGAAGAAGCACCGGCUAACUCCGUGCCAGCAGCCGCGGUAAUACGGAGGGUGCGAGCGUUAAUCGGAAUUACUGGGCGUAAAGGGCACGCAGGCGGUUAAUUAAGUUGGAUGUGAAAUCCCCGGGCUUAACCUGGGAAUGGCAUUCAAGACUGGUUAGCUAGAGUCUUGUAGAGGGGGUAGAAUUCCAUGUGUAGCGGUGAAAUGCGUAGAGAUGUGGAGGAGUACCGGGUGGCGAAGGCGGCCCCUGGGACAAAGACUGACGCUCAUGUGCGAAAGCGUGGGGAGCAAACAGGAUUAGAUACC